UUAUGGCUAUGGACCUAGGGAACCUAAGCGAAUCAAGAGGAACUCUAUCAGGAAAAAUUAGCAACAACUAAAAUUUCAAGUUAUGGAACAAAUUCUACGAGCUUCUGUAGACCCUCAUUUUGUCAACAGACCAUUAUAGACAUAAUGAAGCUCUGGCCGAGCCAGUUCAUUGCCUUCUGGGGAAGGAUGUGCUCUUGUGUCCUCAACUCCAGCUGGAGAAAGCUGUCUGAAAGAGUGACUGACUCCGCAAACACUUUCAAAUUCCUUUCAGAAUAAGACUUAACCGCCUUGUCGGCUGCCUUUUUGGUAAGCUGGAGAGAAUAUUGGACACAUUUGCCCCGUGC